CCAGACUCCUACGGGAGGCAGCAGUGGGGAAUAUUGGGCAAUGGGCGCAAGCCUGACCCAGCAACGCCGCGUGAAGGAAGAAGGCUUUCGGGUUGUAAACUUCUUUUGUCAGGGACGAAGCAAGUGACGGUACCUGACGAAUAAGCCACGGCUAACUACGUGCCAGCAGCCGCGGUAAUACGUAGGUGGCAAGCGUUAUCCGGAUUUACUGGGUGUAAAGGGCGUGUAGGCGGGACUGCAAGUCAGAUGUGAAAACCACGGGCUCAACCUGUGGCCUGCAUUUGAAACUGUAGUUCUCGAGUACUGGAGAGGCGGACGGAAUUCCUAGUGUAGCGGUGAAAUGCGUAGAUAUUAGGAGGAACACCAGUGGCGAAGGCGGUCUGCUGGACAGCAACUGACGCUGAGGCGCGAAAGCGUGGGGAGCAAACAGGAUUAGAUACCCUUGUA
rnacentral:rRNA from 1 species